UUACAAUGCUGGCAACAGCGAUAAGGGAACCUCGAGUGCCAGGUUACAAAUCUGGCUGUCGAGAUGCCUAAAAAGCAUUUCAUAGCAAGGGCCGGGCAAGACCGGUGCCAGCCGCCGCGGUAACACCGGCGGCUCGAGUGGUAACCGUUAUUAUUGGGUCUAAAGGGUCUGUAGCCGGCCGGAUAAGUCUCUUGAGAAAUCUGGCAGCUUAACUGUCAGGCUUUCAGGAGAUACUGUCUGGCUCGAGGCCGGGAGAGGUGAGAGGUACUUCAGGGGUAGGGGUGAAAUCUUGUAAUCCUUGAAGGACCACCAGUGGCGAAGGCGUCUCACCAGAACGGACCUGACGGCAAGGGACGAAAGCUAGUGGCACGAACCG
rnacentral:rRNA from 1 species